CAAUUACGAUUUACGAGCUUCCUUCAUCGAUUACUCUCCAGAGGUCGAUAUGAAUCUCCGAUUUGCAUCAUCUCUCUCACUCCGAUCGUGACAUGCGGCUCUGCAAAUGAUGAAUUCUGCCCAAACACUCAGUACUACCUUCAAUCGUCGCCAGCAGCCUCAGUUGUGACCUCAAUCACAGGAGAAAUCAGAAGCAAUCGGCAUCGCAUGUUUCAGCAAAGAACAGAGAGAGAGAGAGAAAGAGUUGGGGGAAACGAAAUAAUGUUUGGGUUCUUUUCACGCUUUUUUUUUUGCUUGUUUUGUUAAAACCAACUGACCAAUGAUAACGCACCACGUCAUCGUCUCUCAUCUCUCUCAAAAACUCUCUCAAGAGAGACAGCUCUCUCUCUUUUAAUCCAUUUUGAUUUAUUUUUCAACUCUUUUUUCAAGAGAACCAACAAUGAGAACUCCAUUUUGCAUCCAUUGGAGAUGCUCUCAUUAGACAAUCUCUU